rnacentral:rRNA from 1 species
UACAGAGGUCCCAAGCGUUGUUCGGAUUUACUGGGCGUAAAGCGUGCGCAGGCGGUUCGUUGUGUCGGCGGUGAAAGCCCCGGGCUCAACCUGGGAAUGGCCGUUGAAACUGGCGAACUGGAGUGUGGCAGAGGGGGGUGGAAUUCCGCGUGUAGCAGUGAAAUGCGUAGAGAUGCGGAGGAACACCGAUGGCGAAGGCAGCCCCCUGGGCUGACACUGACGCUCAGGCACGAAAGCGUGGGGAGCAAACAGG